rnacentral:rRNA from 1 species
GGUGGCCUACGGGACGCAGCAGUAGGGAAUCUUCCACAAUGGACGAAAGUCUGAUGGAGCAACGCCGCGUGAGUGAAGAAGGGUUUCGGCUCGUAAAGCUCUGUUGGUAGUGAAGAAAGAUAGAGGUAGUAACUGGCCUUUAUUUGACGGUAAUUACUUAGAAAGUCAAGGCUAACUACGUGCCAGCAGCCGCGGUAAUACGUAGGUGGCAAGCGUUGUUAGGAAUAACUGGGCGUAAAGGAUGCGUAGGCG